rnacentral:lncRNA from 1 species
GAAACAUACAUAAUUGGCUUGCACGAGGGCAAGCAAUAGCCAAAAAUGAAAGUACUAAACUAAACAUUCAUCCAAGUAAUAUGAUUAACUUUUAACCACAUACAUGCAUUCAACUUAUACAUUUACAUUCUUUUCAUCCUUUCUUCUCUUAAUACAUCAUGUGAUCUCCAAAAUAAACCUUUGCAUUUAAUAUCAUUUAAAAUAUCUUUAAUACAUCUAUAAUCAUCAAAAUAC